CAAGUCAGCAUGGCCUUUAUUGUCCAGGGCUACACACGUGCUACAAUGGUUGGUACAAAGGGUUGCCAAGCCGUGAGGCGGAGCCAAUCUCAAAAAGCCAACCUCAGUUCGGAUUGCAGUCUGCAACUCGACUGCAUGAAGUUGGAAUCGCUAGUAAUCGCUGAUCAGCAGGCAGCGGUGAAUACGUUCCCGGGCCUU
rnacentral:rRNA from 1 species